rnacentral:lncRNA from 1 species
AAAAAAUAUACACGUCUUAUUUGUUAUCUGGAAAUUUCACAAUAACUUAGGGACGAUAUUUUUAUAAGAAAUUUCCUGUUAGUCUGCAGUCAAUCAACUGUACAUCAAGUUUCUCCUUUAAAAAGGGAUGCUAUGUACCAAAGCUAAAAAUCCACCAAGCAACAUAUAUAAGAAAUUUUACAGCGUUGCUAAUAACUCAGAUAGGCCAGAAUUAGUGUGUUCAUAAUUAAAAAAGAUGGGAAUAAAGUUAUGGGUAAUGUUAGUGAUGAUGGUGCUUUCACUACUAAAUGUGGUCCAUGAGCCACUGCAUUAUUGAGAAAAACUUGUUUGGAAUGUAAAAAAGUUGUGUCAUUUUCUUUCAACAGUCAAUCAACC